rnacentral:rRNA from 1 species
UACGGGGGGGGCAAGCGUUGUUCGGAAUUACUGGGCGUAAAAGGCUCGUAGGCGGCCAACUAAGUCAGACGUGAAAUCCCCAGGCUCAACCUGGGAACUGCGUCUGAUACUGGAUGGCUUGAAUCCGGGAGAGGGAUGCAGAAUUCCAGGUGUAGCGGUGAAAUGCGUAGAUAUCUGGAGGAAUACCGGUGGCGAAGGCGGCAUCCUGGACCGGCAUUGACGCUGAGGAGCGAAAGCGUGGGGAGCGAACAGG